CCGGUUUCCGGCGGGAGCGUGGGCCGCCAGACUCGGGAGAGGCUCCGUCUUGUGCAAGGGUCCUGUGGGCUGGCUGCACUGGCCUCUGCGGUGGUGCCUGCCAGAAUGCCCCACUUGGAAAACGUGGUGCUUUGUCGCGAGUCUCAAGUGUCCAUCUUGCAGUCCUUGUUUGGAGAGAGACAUCAUUUCAGCUUUCCAUCCAUUUUUAUUUAUGGACAUACUGCUAGUGGAAAGACCUAUGUAACACAAACGUUGUUGAAAACUUUAGAGCUCCCACAUGUGUUUGUGAAUUGUGUUGAAUGCUUUACAUUGAGGCUGCUUUUGGAACAAAUUUUAAACAAAUUGAAUCAUCUUAGUUCUUCAGAGGAUGGAUGUUCUACUGAAAUAACCUGUGAAACAUUUAAUGACUUUGUUCGCUUGUUUAAACAAGUAACCACAGCUGAAAAUCUUAAAGAUCAGACUGUAUAUAUUGUUCUAGAUAAAGCAGAGUAUCUAAGAGAUAUGGAAGCAAAUCUUUUGCCUGGAUUUCUUAGAUUACAAGAAUUGGCUGACAGAAAUGUGACUGUUCUCUUUCUCAGUGAAAUUGUUUGGGAAAAGUUUCGUCCAAAUACUGGAUGCUUUGAGCCGUUUGUCUUAUAUUUCCCUGAUUACAGCAUAGGCAACCUUCAAAAGAUCCUGUCCCAUGAUCAUCCUCCAGAGUAUUCAGCUGAUUUCUAUGCUGCCUACAUUAACAUUCUUCUUGGAGUUUUCUACACUGUUUGUCGAGAUUUGAAAGAGCUCAGACAUCUGAAAAUGCAGAACUCCAUAAAAAUCAAAAUGAGGAAUAACAGAAAAGAGAUGUAAAAACUUGAGCAGUUUUACAACUCUGUUAAUAUUUUGUAACAGAUUUUGUUCAAGUUUUAUGUAUGCGGUGAUUGAGGUCUAGAAUCUAGAUGGAUUUGAGUAUGGUCAGAAGCUUUCAUUGCAGGUCUUUCAUUAACCACUGACCCUGAGCUGGUAAUCUUUGUAUAGAUGGUUCUUUUUAAUUUUUUUUUUUUAACAAUUAGAAUAGCUGUUUAUAUUUCAUAGACAGUUUGGAAAAUGUUGAUGUUUAAUUUUUCUUUGACCUUUUUUGUUUUAAUUGUAGGGAUGGGAAAGGAAAGAGACAAGAAUUUCUGUUUUCCCUUUUAGAAAUCUUCAAUUAAUUAAGAUCUUAUCUCCAUUUAACAGAAAAU
rnacentral:lncRNA from 1 species